GCCCGGCUGGCACAAUUGGCUAGCGCGUGAGACUUUUAAUCUCAAGGUUCAGAGUUCGAGUCUCUGGUCGGGCG